rnacentral:rRNA from 1 species
UACGGGGGGAGCAAGCGUUGUUCGGAUUUACUGGGCGUAAAGGGCGCGUAGGCGGCGUAACAAGUCACUUGUGAAAUCUCCGGGCUUAACCCGGAGCGGCCAAGUGAUACUGUUGUGCUAGAGUGCGGAAGGGGCUACUGGAAUUCUCGGUGUAGCGGUGAAAUGCGUAGAUAUCGAGAGGAACACCUGCGGCGAAGGCGG